UACGAAGGGGGCUAGCGUUGCUCGGAAUCACUGGGCGUAAAGCGCACGUAGGCGGAUUGCUAAGUCAGGGGUGAAAUCCUGGAGCUCAACUCCAGAACUGCCUUUGAUACUGGCGAUCUUGAGUCCGGGAGAGGUGAGUGGAACUGCGAGUGUAGAGGUGAAAUUCGUAGAUAUUCGCAAGAACACCAGUGGCGAAGGCGGCUCACUGGCCCAGUACUGACGCUGAGGUGCGAAAGCGUGGGGAGCAAGCAGG
rnacentral:rRNA from 1 species